UGAAAUGUAAAUAAAGAAAAUAUCCACAUGCCAGAGGAGUGGAGAGGCUUUGAUAGCCUAGGUCAUCACAAUGCCUGCAGCUGCAACUAAGCUUGCCUAUAUAU